GGCCAAAACUCAGGACUACAGGGGAGCCCCACUAGGCAAAGCCCUCUUCAGUGAACCUGCCAUCCUACCUAAAGAUGAAGUUGAUCAGAGGAAGAAGUGCAACAAGGAGACCAGAAGAGCUGGAGUAUACUAACAGUGCCAGCAAACCACAAAAGACCUCAAAGCAGUGCAAGAACUGGAGGAGAUGUCUUCAGUAGUGAAAGAUACUGAGAAACUGAAUGAGGAUGGUAUUCACAUUUACACAAAGAAUGUAGAGCAGAUUUGUUGUCACGCUGCCACCAUUUUGGUCAUGCCUCCCCAAUGACCUCAGCCUUUCGAGGGCCCGCAAGGUUUGGUGCUGGGACAGCGAGGCUGGUGAGUUCAAAAGGCUUUAGCAGGCACCACAUGUUCUGAAUGGUCAUGUUGCUAGGAACAGAUUUAUUUUACGCACUGAUGGUGAAACUCCUGGAGUCUAAAAGAUCUCUGAAGAAUCCACAGGGAGAGGACAUUACUUCUAAACCUCAUCUAGACUGAGA